rnacentral:misc_RNA from 1 species
GAUGAAGAACGCAGCGAAAUGCGAUAAGUAAUGUGAAUUGCAGAAUUCAGUGAAUCAUCGAAUCUUUGAACGCACAUUGCGCCCGCCAGUAUUCUUGCGGGCAUGCCUGUUCGAGCGUCAUUACAACCCUCAGGCCCCCGGGCCUGGCGUUGGGGAUCGGCGGAGCCCCCCGUGGGCACACGCCGUCCCCCAAAUACAGUGGCGGUCCCGCCGCAGCUUCCAUCGCGUAGUAGCUAACACCUCGCGACUGGAGAGCGGCGCGGCCACGCCGUAAAACACCCAACUCUUCUGAAGUUGACCUCGAAUCAGGUAGGAAUACCCGCUGAACUUAAGCAUAUCAAUAAGCGGAGGA